UACAGAGGGGGCAAGCGUUGUUCGGAAUUACUGGGCGUAAAGGGCGCGUAGGCGGCCUUCUAAGUCGAACGUGAAAUCCCCGGGCUCAACCCGGGAACUGCGUCCGAUACUGGAAGGCUUGAAUCCGGGAGAGGGAUGCGGAAUUCCAGGUGUAGCGGUGAAAUGCGUAGAUAUCGAGAGGAACACCGGUGGCGAAGGCGGCCAACUGGACGAAUACUGACGCUGAGACACGAAAGCGUGGGGAGCAAACAGG
rnacentral:rRNA from 1 species